ensembl:lncRNA
UGGCCGAGGCUCACCCCCGCGCAACGGAACUGUUGGUGCGCUCCGACGGCGCGGAAGCCUCCGCCGAGCGCCGCCUUCUGACAGACAAAGAAGAACUACAAACCUCAGCCAGUCAGGAGCAACCACCAUCAACAAGCCUACUGCCCACUAGCUCCACAGGGCUAUGUGAAGAAGGCUUCCAAAGGAGAGAUCACGUCUAGAACCCUCCUGUAGAUGGAUCACAGGCUGUUGGGCAUGUUGAAAAUGCUGUUGCGUUGGCAGACAAGCUUUGGCAAGCUGCUUCAUAGAGGCUGAAAGGAGGUUUUGCUUCCAGCUCCACUCCUCUGCUGGAAUUACUGUCUGCACAGUAAUGGGGGAAUGCAGACCUUUGACUUAGCAGCUCUGGUGCAAAGGGUAAAACAUUCACCUUUGCUAAAGGUUAAAACUGAAAUGCUUUUCUGGAAGCAUAGGUGAAUUUGCACUAAAACAUCAAACUGAGUAGAAGAAAGAGAAGCACUUGAUUCCUCCUGCUGCUCUGGUGGUUGGGAAGAUGGGAUGGAAAAGGUGAGCGGCCUUCCAUGAGGUGCAGCACAGAAGGAUAUUCCUGUCAUUUUUGCCAGUGCAGUGAAGAUGAGGAUGACUUAUUGGAUCGUUGUCUCACUUACUUCAGAUUAGAAAGGAUAUGGUAAUGUGCAUAAGUUCAGUAUUCACAGAUUAAACAAAUUCUAGUAAGUGUUAUUGAUAGGAGAUAACAAGUAUGAAAUUUAUUAAUUGCUUAAAUUGACUUUUACACUGCAAGAAAAACAUCUUUUCCCUCUCCCCUGCUGUCACUGACAAGUGUGGAUGCAUGUGAUGUUUAAAAUGUUUAAUUAUGGCCAAGACAAUGAGCAUUAUUAGGUUCAGUGACCUGUAUACCUGUGUAUCUCCUGCUGUAGGGAACCUGUUUUAGUAGGGAGGUUGGGACUCUGUGAUCUCUAAAGAUCCCCUCCAACCCCUGCAAUUCUGUCUGCUUUUAAGUCACGUAUGCACUAUUUCUCUAUACUGACCUAACUCAGAUUCAUGUGCAGCCUUUGCUGCAUAUUCUAAUUUGGGGUUUUGUGUUAUGUACAAGUGGAAGAGUGGCAUGGUUACGAUGGUACUUUACAGGUGUUAUAGUUGGAAAGAUUACUGUGGUGAAAAAGAGAUGAUCAAAGAAGAAAUGCUCACCUGUAUCUGAGGAUCUAGGUUCACAGUGGAAAAACUCCAAAAAAGAGGGAUCUCCAGAAAGAGAUCCUUCCCCAGUGGUAGUCAGCCUUAAAUGGGGUCUAGCCUGGCUCCACCCCCUUCAGUCACACAGGUGAAUUGCCUUCACCUGAGCUCCCAUGGCUGACCCAGUCCUUGUCUCGGGUGAUCAAUCAGUGGUUCAGGCCAUGACUCAAUAGUUCCCAUACCUGUUAUAAUUUGAGAACUGCUUAUACAUGCAGCCUCAUACAGGAGUGUUUCGUAGAUUUGUUGGGUUUCUUUUUUUUUGAGUGUAUGUGUAUGUUUUCCUAGUUGUUGUUUUGUUUGUUUUCUUUCAUACGUUAAGAUAACUUUACAUAGGUGGCUUAAUUCUGAAUGUCUAUAAAGGCUGAAAGGUCCUACUUUGAUCCUCUGUACAGUUAAGGCCCACUGAGUGUGUAGAAUCAGAUCUCAACAGGUAUAUGGGUUAUUUGUUAUUAAUUUAUUAUUAGGAUGAUAAACAAAUGGAUGAUAAACAAGGGAAUAAGCAAAUAGUUUGGAUGAUGAACAGAUUCUAUUCAAAAUAUUUGCAAUAAAAACAAAGCAGCAUUUGCAAGUCCAAUCUCUUGUUAGCGAGUCCAAGUGAAUAUAUUAACCUUAAAAUAUACAUAGGCCAACAAUACCUGGGAUGUGGGCAGACACAAAUUCAUAGCUGGGAUUAGCAUAAUCCCUAUAUUUAUGUUCAAUAUAUGUGUGUAUAUAUAUAUUAUAAAGUGGAAAAGCACUAAGAAAAUAGGGUUUGAUUGGAGAGCAGAGGUGAAUCAUCUUCGUAAUUUGAAUUUGUAACUCAUGCACAGAAUGGAAACAGAACUAUAUACAAUAGCACUUUAUUGACUCAUUAAUAUUUAUUUAUAUACACAGUAAUAUACCAUCCAUCAACAAAUUGGACUCUUUAAUAAAUAGCAUUAACGUUGCUUGUUUUUUGCAUAAUCAGUUAAUUAAUGCUUCUGCAUUUGACAUUCUCAUUUACUUUAUGUUGCAUAAUGAUUUAUCUUGUUCUGUGCUGCAGUGUUUACUCCUAAGGAGUAGAAAGUUAAACAGUAAACUUUGUUAAACAGUAUUUUGUUGCCCAGUAGCUCGAGUAAUCAAAGUAAAAUCUAUUAACACAUUAAUUAGUAUCUUAAUAUUCAAUAAAAUACCCUUUUCUUUUCUUUUGGAGGCAUAAACAUCAUUGCAGAAGUUAUUAUUGUAAAAGUUCCAGACAGGUAAUUCUCAAAGUAUGUGCACGUGAAUCCUGUAAGCAGGACAUAAGGAGUACUGAAUAACAGCAGAAGUAUGUGGUCUGUAGGCAAAUAUGGACAAUAAAAUGGGGUGUUGACAACCUGAUUAGACUUUUUUUUUCCUUAAGCAUUGUUCUAGUUUUAAAGCAACUUUUAAAUUAAAUUGAAAUUUAAUUUAAAUCUCCCAUAUUUUUUUCUGUAAGGAUAAAAGCAAAUAUUGUCAGUUUCUUUACAAAAAACAAAGGUCAUGAACUCUGAUAAACCAGUAUACAAAUAAAUAAAUGGUUUUUAUAGCAUCCUCUCCCAUUAGAUUGCAGCUCCAUUCCAGGAGCAUGCUGGCCUUUUGAAUAUCCAUAAUGAAAAUGUAGUGCCAAAGGCAGGUGACAAAGCACUAACAAAUUGGAACAAAAGAAAAAAAGGAAAAGCAGUAUCAGGCAUGCUACCUGCUGGCAAGAGCAGUAUUAUUGACCCCGUAAGAAAGCAUGAGUUUCCAUUUACAGUGUAUGCAAGAUGGGGCUCAGAGUUAGUGAGGUUUGUAAGUGAAAUACAUCUUAAAAAAAAAAAAAAAAAGCAAAAAGUGAAAUAAUAUUCACUUGCUAUUUUUUUCUAUUUAUUUGUGGGAACAUUUGAGUAAUUAAACAAAUUUUUGUCCUAGAAGCAAAGCAACCAAAUAAACUGAUCCAAAUUAUUGGACUUCUGGUUUCCUGCACACCUAAAAAUAAAUAAAGAAAUAAACACUGAGAACUUUUUGUAUAUAGGAAUUAAGUUAGCACUGAUGGAGAGUUCUUUUUAGUUCUGUCAGUGCCUGCAAGUAUUCUCUGUAGGUAGUACAGAUACACCUGGCAAAAGCAAAGAAUGUCCAUCCCCUCCCACAUGGCACCUCCUGAUCACUGUGUAGCUAUACAGUUUUCUCUUUCCUCUUAUGCCUAUGUGUCUCCAAUGGCUCCAGCAGAACUCCAGGUAGCUGCCCAUUGCACACCGAAGAGGAGAUGCACUCUUCUUGCAUCAGCAGCAGUCAGGAAAGCCAUCAAAAUAAUAGUUGUACAAAGCAGCUGUUGUACAAAAAGUAGUUAUAGGAAGUUGUACAACAGCUGUGCAAAAAUGAUCUAAAAUAUACUUUUUCAGCGACAGUUGCCCAUAGAAAAAUUUGAUGAGCAAUUCUACAAGUUUUCACCUUUGAGAUUUCAUUUCACAAACACUUUUCAUCAUGAGGAAUAAAAAGUUGGCAGGGCCAUUGAUUUCAUCUAAAAUGUUUGAUUUAAAAUGCUUUCCGUCAAAUAAAUGUGUUUCAUGAUGUUCAACUGCCUGGUUUCUUUUUACAUGUUGUCGAUGUCAAUGCCAAAAACUACCUAAGAUUUACCAUGUUGGUGCCGUGCUAUAUAUUGCUCCAUGGCAUAACAGUUGUCAACUCCAAGGUCACAGCUUUAUUAAAGGAUCAAGAUUUACAAUAAUGUUAGCUCCAGCAUGAAUGCCUUCACACACAUCUUCCCAUACUUUACUUCUCUGAGGUCACCAGCCCAAUCUCUCCCCCUGCCAAAGCUACUAAUCCAUAAAUACUGCAGUCUCCUGAACUAAGUUCAAAUGGACCUAUCAUCUUCUUUGAGUAAUAAAUCUUUACUUUUGUUUAACACCUGCCUUCAGAGAAUGCAACCCUCUUUACCUGCAGUAAUUAAUUUACCUUCACCACGUCCUUAUGUGGUGCUUAAAAACUGCUCCCCUUUUACAGACUAAGGAACCGAGGCAUGAUGACAUGCUUGACUGCAGUGCCACAGGAAGACUGAAAAGACUUGGAAGCCUGUGUCUGCAUUUAAGUCUUGAAUGCUGAAGCUGAAAGCUGUGCUAUAUCCCUCCCAGUCCUGUAGUGUCUAAACUGAGGCCUCUGUAGCUCUUCUUGUAAUGUAGUUUCAUGGCAUUGAUAAGGCAAACCUGAAGUUGGCUAUAUGGGAGUGUAUAGUCCUAAUCGAUGCACACAGAUAUAAAGAAGUAUUCUGCAGACUCUUUAUCACUCAAGGUGUGGUUGGGUAUCUUCUGGUUGUGCUUGCACUGUUGAAGGGAUUACUGCUACCAACUUACAUACCCCAACAGGGGGUACUGCUACCCCUCAUGCCUUCUCAGAUCUACAGGCCUGGCUUCCUACUUCAUUUCAGACAAGGCCAGUUAAUUACUUCAAGCAGCAGUUCUUUGCCAGAUGAUGAACAGCUCAGCUAACUCAUAGCAACCUCCAACAGAGCAGUAAUGAGUACAGGAGAGCAGUUAGCUCAGGUGCCAGCAGAGCCCCAGGUACAAAAAUACACCUUACCUCAGUGACUCAGCUUCCCAGCUCUGUCCUCUCCCGUGAGUCCUAUGCACAAGAAGUUUUGCAGUUGGCACUGGACUUUCUCCUGAGCUGAAGCGUGCAGUAAAUAUCCCAGCCCAGAUGACUUUACUCUUAAAUUGCUUAUAUGAAUGGGUGAACUUCACGACUACUAGAACACAAAGGCCUUCAAAUCUUGCCUUGGUAUGAUCUAAAAAUGAAGUAUUUGGGACAGUCUUUAGCUUUAUUUGGGUCUUAGCUUUUGCUUGGAAGGACAGCAGCAUUUUUAGCCAGUCAUAACUGAGAUCCUGAAUAAGAAAGCAGAGCCACCAUCCUUCACAGUAUCACAGAAGAGUUCAUCUUCCAUCCUCAUCUAAAGUGAGACCUGAGCUUUAGCUUCAUUUCGUCUUCUCUCUUUUCCCUCCAAAGCGUGGGACCAGAUAGUGGGGGCAUUGCCUUGCUGCUGAUCCCUGGCAGAUACAAGCAGCAGCCCUGAGGGAUGGCUAAAGCCUAAAUAGUUUUGAAAUCCUGGAUGCUGAAGGCCUAAUUGAACCACAAGGCUUAAUGUUUUGUAUUUUCUCUUCCCUGAAAAUAUAAUUUCAGGCUACAGAGAGAGUUUCCUACCUAGCGAUCUCCUCUAGACAUCUGCUUGUGGUAUAGACAGUUGCAGUCCCAAGGAGAAAAGAAACAUGGAAGCGAAGGAACGAUUUAUCUUCAGCCCAUGGCGCAUAUUUUUAAUACAGGAUGAGAGACCAGGACCGACCUGAAUCUUAGUUUUAUUAUGAACCAAUAUAAUUUCCACAAAUGAAUAUAUUUUGAAACAAACACAGUCUCUAUGAAUUGGUUUCUUUUAAAAGUAUUGCCAGCAUUUUGUUUGUUGUUCAUCUGCCAAGAGUUACAUUUGAGGUGGUCAGUGCUAGAUGGGCUAAACAAGCCCAAAUUCUUCUCUACCUGGAGAGAUUUGUUGGCAUAACUACAUCACUGUAGUGGUCUCCUUACAAUUCCUUAUUCUGGAAGAAAAGUGCACAGCCAUGCUGCUGGAUUACUGUUAAACUUUUUUGUCAGUAUGAUUCAGUAGGCAGAAAUUUUUAACAAAAUAUUACUAAUAGCACUAAAACUACACACAUAAAUGCUGCUGACCACAGUGAGAGGUCAGAUGCAUUCCUGAGCUGCCUGUGCAAGGCGUCCCAUAAGCCAUCCUCUGAACCCCCCUCUGCAGCUGAUAUUGCUGGCACAGCCACCUCCGUACUAUGCAGUAUGUUCACCAGUGAUGUCCUACAGCAGAAUGACAUGCACACACAUAUGUUUUGUUUUGUGUAGGUUUACACUUCCAUUAGGCAGAGGUGCCACAGAGAGUCAGCCUUCUCAGUAUGCUAUGCUGCAGCAGCUGCCUAAUGUACACCACAGAAUAAUCUGAGCUGGAAAGGACCCUAAAGGUCACCUGGUCCAACUCCCCUGCAAUGGACAGGUACACCUACAGCUACAGCAGGUUGUUCAGUGCUCUGUCCAGCCUGACUUUGAAUGUCUCCAGGGACGGGGCAUCCACCCGUCUGGGCAACCUGUACCAGCGUUUCACUGUUCUAACUGUAAAACACCUUUUCCUUAUAGCCAGUCUAAAUCUCCUGUUUUAGUUUGAACCCAUUUCCCCUUGUCUUAUCACAACAGACCUUGCUAACAAGUCUGUUUCCUUCCUUCUUAUAGUCCCCCUUUAGAAGGCUGCUAUGAGGUCUCCCUGGAGUCUCCAGUUCUCCAGGUUGAACAGCCCCAGUUCCCUCAGCCUGCCCUCAUAGGAGAGGUGUUCCACCCCCUGGAUCAUGUGUGCGGCCCUCCUCCUCCAGCAGGUUUAUAUUUCUCCUGUACUGUACACCCAACUUAAGUUUCCCAGAAUGAAGUCCUAAAUUUAUUAGUUCUAGAAAGGGUAGCAGAAAAUGUUCAUUUAGUUAAUAAUCAAAACUCCUGAACAUUAUAACAGCUUAUAUAACAUGCCUUUAAUGCUUUGUGAAUACCUCCAUGUUUGAACCACUACUUUAUCAUCAAGAAGAGUGCAGAAAUGCCUUCACCAUUUAUGCAGAAGGUGCCUGCAAACACUUUCCUCUGAUUUCAUACUGUCAGCAAGCGUCAGUCUGUCCCUCUGCUACUACUACCUGAAAGAAAGGUGCCAAUGGCUCAGCUGGGUUGGCCAUAGAUUUGUUACCUCUCUGAGUGUCUGUACUAGACCCACUUGCUAACCUGUAGCACUUCCCCUAGCCACUUUGGGGACCAGCAUUUCGUAGCUGUUUCCACAUCCGCAUUUGCAGCAUACUCAACAUGGGCACGAUAGGGGGACAGGGACAUACAGUAGGGCAGGAUUGCCAGCAGCACUUGCAAGGCCCCAAGCGGGCAUCUGAACGUCAAGAACUUUCCCAGAUACGGAUUCUCUUAACUCUAGAAACUUUUGGGGGCCGAGAAGCUCUAAGAGCAGAGCGGGACAAGGCGCGGGUGCAGCGCGCUGCCACAGGAACAGGCCCAUAUCCGAG